rnacentral:rRNA from 1 species
GGCCUAACACAUGCAAGUCGAACGGUAACAGGAAGCAGCUUGCUGCUUCGCUGACGAGUGGCGGACGGGUGAGUAAUGUCUGGGAAACUGCCUGAUGGAGGGGGAUAACUACUGGAAACGGUAGCUAAUACCGCAUAACGUCGCAAGACCAAAGAGGGGGACCUUCGGGCCUCUUGCCAUCGGAUGUGCCCAGAUGGGAUUAGCUAGUAGGUGGGGUAACGGCUCACCUAGGCGACGAUCCCUAGCUGGUCUGAGAGGAUGACCAGCCACACUGGAACUGAGACACGGUCCAGACUCCUACGGGAGGCAGCAGUGGGGAAUAUUGCACAAUGGGCGCAAGCCUGAUGCAGCCAUGCCGCGUGUAUGAAGAAGGCCUUCGGGUUGUAAAGUACUUUCAGCGGGGAGGAAGGCGAUAAGGUUAAUAACCUUGUCGAUUGACGUUACCCGCAGAAGAAGCACCGGCUAACUCCGUGCCAGCAGCCGCGGUAAUACGGAGGGUGCAAGCGUUAAUCGGAAUUACUGGGCGUAAAGCGCACGCAGGCGGUCUGUCAAGUCGGAUGUGAAAUCCCCGGGCUCAACCUGGGAACUGCAUUCGAAACUGGCAGGCUAGAGUCUUGUAGAGGGGGGUAGAAUUCCAGGUGUAGCGGUGAAAUGCGUAGAGAUGCUGGAGGAAUACCGGUGGCGAAGGCGGCCCCCUGGACAAAGACUGACGCUCAGG